AUUUGACAAACCUCAUCAACCAGUAUAAGUGGAACCAUACUCUGAAUUUGGCAUAAACCUUGUUCCAAACAAAUUCUUCAUUUUUUGAAAUCUUGAAACCAUGACAUUAGUGAGACAACAUAAAUUAAAGGGGAAAAGUGUAUUUAAGCUCAUAGGCACGAGUAAACAAAUUUUGAGGGAUUUGUCUCUUUGAAAGAGGACAAUAAUGAGAACUCGAGCUCUUUGGUAGACUACAUAAAAUAUCAUCAGAUUGUUCUUAAAGUUGGCCUUUUAAAUAGUAAGGUCAUAAACACACAGUCAUUGCAACAAUCACAAAAAUAUAUGGUUAACUACCAAAAAUACACGCACCAGAUAGAGUUUGCUGGGUUCACUGUAGUGCUGAAGAAGUAACUUUGCUCUCUCAAUCGCAGUGUUGAGUAAGCGUCAACUGCUGC
rnacentral:lncRNA from 1 species